CCCUUAGCUGUCCUGGGCUGCACGCGCGCUACACUGGAAGUUACGGAUUGAGAUACUACCUUGUCCGAAAUGGUCCGGGUAAUCACCUAAAAGCUUGUCAUAAUUGGAAUGGAUUAUUGUAACUAGUAAUCCUGAACGAGGAAUUCCUAGUAAGUCCCAGUCAACAGCUGGUACUGAUUACGUCCCUGCCCUUUGUACACACCGCCCGUCGCUACUACUGAUUGGACGUUUAAGCAAGAUUUUUAAACACUGACAGUGUGUAGUUCACGCUAUACUACAGUGAGAAGAAGAAGAUCGAGCUUACUUGUCUAGAGGAAGUAAAAGUCGUAACA
rnacentral:rRNA from 1 species